rnacentral:rRNA from 1 species
UGGGGAAUAUUGCACAAUGGAGGGAAAUCUGAUGCAGCGACGCCGCGUGAACGAAGAAGGCUUUCGAGUCGUAAAGUUCUUUUAUAUGGGAAGAUAAUGACGGUACCAUAAGAAAAAGCCCCGGCUAACUACGUGCCAGCAGCCGCGGUAAUACGUAGGGGGCUAGCGUUGUCCGGAAUCACUGGGCGUAAAGGGUUCGCAGGCGGAAAUGCAAGUCAGGUGUAAAAGGCAGUAGCUUAACUACUGCAAGCAUUUGAAACUGCAUAUCUUGAGAGGAGUAGAGGUAAGUGGAAUUUUUAGUGUGGCGGUGAAAUGCGUAGAUAUUAAAAAGAAUACCGGUGUCGAAGGCGACUUACUGGGCUCAUUCUGACGCUGAGGAACGAAAGCGUGGGUAGCAAACAGG